CUCCUCAGUACCCAGACUCAGAAGGGAACCUAAGGCCAUGCCCCAGACCCGGAAGGGAACCCAAAGCUGUGUCCCAGACCCGGAAGAGAACCCAAGGCCGUGAUCCAGACCCGGAAGGGAACCCAAGGCUGUGUCCCAGACCCGGAAGAGAACCCAAGGCUGUGCCCCAGACCGGGAAGGGAAGCCAAGGCUGUGCUCCCUGAUGAGCAAGGAACCAGACUUUUAAAGAAAGUCACCAAACACUGAACUUCUGAUGGACUCUGCAAGGGACUCUGCAAACAUGGAGAAAGCAAGACUUCCAAGAUGUAAAGUUGGGUGGGAGAAUUCUUCUCCCCAGAUCUCUGGGGUAUGCAACCCAUUCAACGUGCUCUCGAAUUCUGGUUUUUGUUUCCAUUUUCUAUAACAAGAGAUGAAGACAGAAUAUGUCAAUGUUGAUGUAUCUGAGAAAGGAUGAAUUCCAGACUGGAACACAGCUACAUCUGCUCAGAGACAAGAUGGAGGGAAUUAAGAUGCUAACCGUGAUUAUUUCUCCCCAAGCAAAUUUACAGUAUCUUUGGCCUCAAGAGCCAAAAUUCCAGACAGAUUAGCUUCUCAUCUCCUCGGCAACUCUCAGAACCGCAUAGCUAUAGAAAUUCAUUGCUUAAACACUGGGUGUCCUUAUUAGGGAACUAUCUUAAAUUCUGUGCCAACAAAGAAACUCAUUGACUACGGAGCAAUAGUCAUGAAAAUAUUUAUGAUGUGGAUUAAAAACAGGUGCUCCAAGCAGAACAAAAGCCGGGGUUAUUCACCACCCGACUAACUGGAGAAACAUUAUUUACAUCUAACCCAGUGCAUUUUAGGUUUUCAGUAAAUAUUUUUUUCCCUGGG